GCGUGGGAAAUUUCUAUUCAAGGUUAUGUCAAGAGCAAAACUAUAUGAACUCCACAACAUUGUACCGCAUUAUCACUGUGACGCCCACACUUGCAGAGCGUGGGUGAUGAGCGUUGGCGGGAAAAUAAGAUAUAAUCCGGAAAAUUUAUAUAUGCAUCGUUGAAAUCUCGAAAAUAUAGUACUAUUCACGAAACACAAUAUUGAAGAUUAAAAACAACCAUUUCCUUCAUGCAUCAGUCAAAAAUCAUAGGAUAUCAUUUUCUGCAACAGCAGAUAAUAUUUUGUGUGUGAUUAGCAACUUCGGUAGAAUUAAAUUGAAUUCUAUUGGAUCCAUAGGUGAUGGUAGACCUCUUAAAGGCCGUGGCAGUUUACUUCAUUCUUCUCAGUCGGGUGCACCCGGGAGACCGUUACCAUCCGUUAAUGGUCCAGUUAUCGUAGAUAUACAGGAUUAUUUAUCAUUUCUUGAGAUGUCUUGUAAUUAGAAACAGUAAUGCAGAACCUGAUCUCUUGCCUCGAGCUUGGGGUGUUGCUUGUGAAAAAGAUGGAAAUAUUAUUGUUACUGAUAAGAUACAUCAUUGUAUUCAAAUAUUUUAUCAAAAUGGUAGGCUAGUGAGACAAUUUGGAGUAGAAGGAAAAAGUCCAGGGCAAUUUGACAGACCAGCAGGAGUUGCUGUCGAUGAAUGGCAACGUAUCGUCGUAGUCAACAAAGGCAAUCAUCGGGUUCAAAUUUUUACAAUGAAAGGUGAAUUUAUAUUAGCAUUCGGUAAACACGAUAAGAACGAUGGAGAAUUUGAUUAUCCAUGGGAUGUUGCAACAAAUACAGACUGCCAAAUAGUGGUACCACAAUCAUCAAAUUCAAUUAUUUAGUCCAGAUGGUGUAUUUCUACGUAAAUAUAUGUACGAAAAAAGAGCUCUUUGAACUCGAAAACAGCGGGAAAUUUCGGGGCUGGCCUAUAGGAUCAGCGGGUUUCUAAAUUUUUUUUUUAAUUUUUCCCACCCCACACUUAGCAGUAUAUAAUUGCGGUUCUGUAACAAUUAAACCGAAGACAGUUCAACCGACGAUACUUCAACCGAACGACACUUCAACUGAAAAUAACCUGAACACCCUUAUCAGGGAUUUUUUGUCGGUUGAACUGUCGCGGUUGAACUGUCUUCGGUUUAAUAGUCGCGGCACAAUAAUUACUAUAUAUAAGCUGCUUUGACAUCGAAACAGUGGUUUUUCUUUAUAAAAAGAUGAAAUAAAAAAACAUCCAAUAGCUGAAUUAUAUAUCGUACUUUUGAUAAUUAUCAAUAAUAAAACAUAGUAUGACUAAAUAAAUUGAAUAAUUUGAAUAGUAAACAAAGUUUAAGUUAAAAAAAUCCAGUGAAAUAUUUAUUGUCUAUUAAAUCUGGGAAAACUACAAACGGAAGUUUA